rnacentral:lncRNA from 1 species
UGGCCAUUGAUUGACACAUUAAAAUCAUUCAUUGACUGGGACAAUUUAGGUGAACGUUUGUAUGUAACGACCAAUGCUCACUAUGUACUUUUUAAAGACACUUAAACUAUGGGGUCACCAAAGGUUCUCAACACCUAAAUAAAGUAAUUCGAAAAAUUAAUCAGAAAUAACACGAUAUUUUGAUUUAUAUCAAUUAUAUAAAUCAAAACACAAAGGUUAUUCCUGAUUUAUUUUUCGAAUUAUUUUAUAAUUAAAGGCGUUAAGAAACCUUUGUUGACCCCACAGUUUAAAUGUCUAUCGUAGGUACGUCAUGAACAGUGGUU